rnacentral:lncRNA from 1 species
GGUGGAACACAUUGAAUGCCAAAAGAUCGCAGUUCCAACAAUGUAUCGAUCAAUAGUUAUAAACGGCCUCGCAUUUGGCGCUAGGCAUUGGAUGGCAACGCUACAACUCCACUGUGAGAGGAUCGUCUUCUUCAUGGCAACUAAUGUUCCAACCAAGGACUCCAAUGGUAACUAUCUCCACGAGAAACAACCAAAAAAUUUAAGCAACUGUUUUAUUGUCUACUUACAGAUUGCUUUCCUUUAGGAGUCUCAACAUUGGCAGGAAGAAAGAGCAUUCUGAAGCUCGCCCACCGAAUGUCCUUGAGCUUCUGUCAUAACAUCGGCGCAUCUCGGUACAAUACCUGGCAAAAGGU